rnacentral:rRNA from 1 species
CAGUCGCCACGGUAAUACCGAGGGUGCAAGCGUUAAUCGGAAUUACUGGGCGUAAAGCGCGCGUAGGUGGUUUGUUAAGUUGGAUGUGAAAGCCCCGGGCUCAACCUGGGAACUGCAUCCAAAACUGGCAAGCUAGAGUACGGUAGAGGGUGGUGGAAUUUCCUGUGUAGCGGUGAAAUGCGUAGAUAUAGGAAGGAACACCAGUGGCUAAGGCGACCACCUGGACUGAUACUGACACUGAGGUGCGAAAGCGUGGGGAGCAAACAGGAUUAGAUACCCCUGUAGUCCCUGUCUCUUAUAC